GGAAUAUUGGACAAUGGGCGCAAGCCUGAUCCAGCCACGCCGCGUGAGUGAUGAAGGUCUUCGGAUCGUAAAACUCUGUCCUGAGGGACGAAAGCCCCGGGUUCGAAUAGGGCCUGGGAGUGACGGUACCUCUGGAGGAAGCACCGGCUAGCUCCGUGCCAGCAGCCGCGGUAAUACGGAGGGUGCUAACGUUGCUCGGAAUUACUGGGCGUAAAGCGCAUGCAGGCGGUCUGUUAAGUCUUGUGUGAAAGCCCUGGGCUCAACCCAGGAAGUGCACGAGAUACUGGCGGGCUAGAGUACUGGAGAAGUGGGCGGAAUUCCCGGUGUAGAGGUGAAAUUCGUAGAUAUCGGGAGGAACACCAGUAGCGAAAGCGGCUCACUAGACAGAUACUGACGCUCAGAUGCGAAAGCGUGGGGAGC
rnacentral:rRNA from 1 species